rnacentral:lncRNA from 1 species
CAGGGUAGGGUAGUAAAUAUAUUUUAAUAAAUAUAACCCGUGAUUUGGUGAAAAAUGUGUCUGUUAAAUAUGCUUGGAUCUCAACCCAAAAGCUAGCUCAAAGGGUGAGGUUGCCUUCACAUAUUUAUACACUUCACAUCCCGGGAACCUAAGCAAUGUGGGACUUCAAACAAUCUCCAACAACAUAACUUCACAUUCAACAGUGUCAACGUUCAUUAUAGGUCAUGUGAAUAUGAGCUGAAUUGACUUUAAUGACCAAACAUAAAACUCCCUUCACAUAUGAGAUAGGAUCGUCACUUUCACCAACCCAAUCCCAACUAUAUGCAAUUUAUUAGGAGUAUAUCCAUUUCACUUGCAACUUGCACUAUGUUAGCAAUAUCUUCUUCUACUUUUUAAGUACUACAUGUAUACUAUAGAAGGAUUUGGAUUUACUAUUGUCAAAAAUAAUGAUGUAGUUUUAUGCGGUAAUCAUUUGAAACCGUUGAUUUAAGAUUAAAUGGUUCGACCGUUGAUUAGAAAUUGAACGGUUAAGAUUAGUUAUGGUAGCAAAUCUGAUCCUACUAUAGAUUAUAUAGACCAAAUAGAUUAAUUGCUGAAGUAAUUUUUUUUAGGAGAAUGUUAACUUGUGCCUUUAAGGGCACAAAUUUAUUGAACAUGUAGUGUAUUCAAUUAUCUAAACAUUAAAUUUUUUGUAUCAUUAAAUGCUAUAUUUCUAUUUUUAGGUAGCUUAACAUGUGCGCUUAGGACACAAGUUAACAUGACCCUUUUUUUCAUACAUAUAUCUAAUAAUUAAAAUUACAUUAUAGUAUUGCUUUUAUAAAUUUGUUAUUAAAACAUAGUAUAUCCAAAUAUUUACAUGUUAAGGGUUGGGUUGUGUUGGUAGGUGUUAAGGGUGAUUUUUAUUUAAUCUUUUGUGCUUUCCUCUCCAUCUAACUUUUUAGUUAGAUUUUAUCAAUAAAGUUUAAUUAUCGAAAAAAAAAGUAUUUUAUAAUUAUUUAGAAAAAAUUGUUAUAGAUGAUAAAUUGUCAAUUCCUAAUGACACGUGGAAAAGGCAGUCACCCAAUACCAAAANNNNNUAUAAUAUUGAUAUAUUAUGAAUAUUAUUUAUUAUGCAUGGUGGUACGUUGUACAUAUAAUAAUAAUUAUCAUGAAGGUGACAGAGCUAGAAAAGGAUCACAAUUAAUUAGGGAACCAUGCAUGUGGCUCACGGAAAUUUUUUUUUAUAAUAAAAUGUGGACUACAAAUAUUGAUUAAUUAAUGUAAUAAGCCACAUAUAGAUAUCACUAAAAUGAAUUGCAACAAUAGAAAUUACUAGCUAGUAUUUUAUGUAAAAGUAAAUAUAUUACCUGAGUGAAGAAUUCUCGUAGAGUAAGAAGUUUAAUUGUUUUGAAGAACAUUCUAAGGAGACGAAAGUAACUAAGAGACAUUGAUUGCAAAAUUUGUUGACGUUUGUAACUAAGAGACAUUUCUUUUCUACCAAAAUUUACUUCUCCAAUUCGGCGCAAGGCUUUUUUUGAAUCAAACUAUGAAAUCAAAUUUGAGAUAAUAGAAAUUCACUAUAUACAAGAUUAUGAAACCCAACGUUCUUUCAAUUUUCAACUUAAUUGCAUAAAUACUCUUAAAAGAUUAAGCCUUUUUAUGGUGGAGUAUUGUUUCCUCAUUCUUUAAUCAUGAUUCUCUAAAAUACGAUUAAUGGAAAGAUUAAUUUGACAAUGAACCAAAGAGCUUUCUGUAAAACAAUAGUUUUCCUUCUUGUUUGCUUCAAAAAUUACCCCUAUGUUUUGUUGAAUCCAUAUUUUGAUUUUAUGAAAAUCAAUAGUAAGUUACAAAAAAAACUAUUUGAAUGAGAGGCUGCAAGUGACGCAAUCAUGGAUGGU